AACAAAACAAAAGAUCCAUUCCAGUCCCUUGUGCUAAUAUUCUAAAGUGGAAGCUGGAAAUGCUUUUAUGACUCUUCUCCUGGCCCCAGCCUUUCCUGGCACUUUGUACCCGAAUGAGUACCGAAUGAUGCUACUCAUCACUCAGCUGCUAUUCCAGGCCCUGUGCACAAGGUCUGACACAGGCUAGAAGCCUGUUCAUUGAACAUUCCCCACCCAGAGCAUCCACGGCUCACAAUCGCCCACCUCUUUUCAUUUUUAAUUCUCACAAAAAUGGACGUUUUACUGCUCCUCCUGGAUGCCACUUAAAAACCUGGAUUUGCCUUUUGCCCGCUGCCAGGAUAAAGAACAGCAUCUGAGCUUCUCCUGUGGAAAAGCUCCUGACCAGGAAAGCAGUCAGAGGGCGCCCUCUGCCGGUGGACCUGUGACCCGCUCUAACGUAGGCAACUGCAAACCUAACCCAAGAGUACGAACUGUAGAGUCUCUGCCUCUGGGUUUCUGCUCAGCAGUGAGAGGAGCUUGGAAACUGCCCAGCCAGAGUGGAACGAAGAUCACGAAAUUAAAUGGACUGCUCGCGGUUGCCUGAAGGUCUAGAAAAUCCCUGUGCUUCGGGUCGAAAUUCACCCUGGAAAGAGUCCUGAGGACAGGCGCACCGAAAGCACAGAUGUCGGGAAGAAUUUAUGGGUGGUACCCCCAGGACGCCAACGGGCUACUUGGGGUUUACUAUACUGCUUUUCUGUGAACUUAAAAAACGCAUAGCUGUUUGCCUAAGUUGCUAUACCCUCUGGGAGGCAAGCAUGAGUGUAUUGGCAGGAAUCGCUGUGCGUUCUGAACCCUUAGCUGCGAUGCGAACUUAGUUCAUUCGGUGCAGCCGGGUUCCUGGAAGCGCCACCCCACACUCCGCAACCCGCCCGGGUGUUUGCAAAAUGUGUUAUCCGGAUCCUUAUAUUCUCUGUCUCAAGUGCCCAAGACUCAAAAACCAGACCAAACUAUACCGCCCGAGUGGAGAAAGUGUGGGAUAUGACACUAGAGGGAGGUACCAAAAUUGGUAGGAAUAACAGACAUCCCAGACCUCUGUUUCCAGCGUUUUGUUCAGUGUCUGGGGGAACGCACUGGGCAGUGUGUCCGAGGGUUUAUGCAAGUUCGACUUCCAAAAGCCCCCGUGGCUUUUGCAAGAGUGAGGUUUCCCAAAGGCCUUGCAUUCUCGGUGCUGACUUUUCCUAUCAAUGGGAGAGACGCAGGCUAUUGACCCAGCGGCCUCCUCCUCUCGGCCUAUUGUCGCGGCUCAAUCACGCACUUACCGGAAGAAAAGCAAGUUUAUCUUAGCUUGGAGGAGCCUCGUGCUCUCUCUCUCUCUCUCUCUCUCUCUCUCUCUCUCUCUCUCACUCUCUCUCUCUCUGUGUGUGUGUGUGUGUGUGUGUGUGUGUGUGUGUGUGUGUGUGUAUAAAGGGUGGGGGAAAUUCUGCAACCAGGACUGUGCAGAUGGGUUGAGGAUAGACACUUUCAGAAAAGGACCAAUUUCCCUUUCACAAUGAGCGCUAAGUACCUGACAAAUGGGGCUGGUGUUUAUUCAUGAGCAGGUACUUUGGAGAUGGCGAUUAGAACAGCCGCCCUCGCUGCCUAGCCAAGGUACUUAAAGCCGGGCAGGUGCAGCUCGGCGCGCGGUCCCAGCGCACAAAGCCCGCGGCUGCCACGGCGCGGAGAGGGGGCGGGAUGCGGGGCGCGCGGGCCCGGAGGGCGCGCCUAACGCAGGCACCUUAGCCCUUUGUUCCUCUUCUGGAGCCAAGGCCACUUCACAGAGGGGCGCCCCUGGAAAACCUCCCCUCUAAUUACCAGGAAUUUCCCUCCAACCCUCCUCUGGGAGCCCAGCCGAGCAGCUCUUGGGCUGGAGGCCUCAGAGGCUCGUGGGAUCUGGCCUCGCGUUUACAUAAAUGUCGCCUGGGAGUUAACCAUUGGCUAACCAGCUAACUAACUGGACAACUAGGACAGGACCUGGAACCCAGGCCUGGGAACCGCGCGGGCACCCGCCGCGGAGGCGCCACCUCUGGCGGUGCGAACAACCUCGGGCUUUCAGGUUUUGUUUCAACUCCAAAGGGAGAAAAUUGGGGUCUGUCUCAUUCUCCAGUUUACUGGCGCCAAGGUCGUGGGACAAACUCGAUCUUGCCCUCGCCGCCGCGGCUACAGAAUCCCUAAGAACCACUGGCUUUAGUGACGUCCUCGCCUCGGUAGUGAGAGCUUGACGGGCACCGAGCGCAGGCUUCUCCGUGCUUUAGACACGGGACGUGGACCAGCUCCUGACCUAGGCCAGGCACUGUGCGAGGCAAACCCCAGGCUGCCGAGGUGCUAAAUGUCAGUAAUGUCCCGAGGUCGGGAACACCAGUGGUGUGCGUCCUCCUGGGUCUCUGUCGCCUGGGAUUGCUCUCUGUCGCUGUUGUUUUAAAUCGUUUCGAAAAGCCCACUAAGAUAACUUAUCUUCAGCCCACAGAAUCAGACAGGAGAAAUGUGUUUCAAACACGCUGGUUCCUCUUGGGGAGAAAAUUCUUUGAGGAUGAUAGAAAACAAGAGACAGGGGGAAACGAUGUCACCCACCAUUAGGCGAGCUUUUACAUUUCCCACCGCGAAUAACCCACCAGCUCUCCCUUGUGAGAUACAUCAUGCUUAUUGACACCCAUGAGAGACAUUUCUAGAACCUCGAGGUUAGAAUAAACUAUAGAGAUACGGUAAGCCUGAUUCUCGGGCAAAUCCGA